rnacentral:rRNA from 1 species
UGGAGAGUUUGAUCCUGGCUCAGAUUGAACGCUGGCGGCAUGCCUUACACAUGCAAGUCGAACGGCAGCGCGGACUUCGGUCUGGCGGCGAGUGGCGAACGGGUGAGUAAUACAUCGGAACGUGCCCUGUUGUGGGGGAUAACUAGUCGAAAGAUUAGCUAAUACCGCAUACGACCUGAGGGUGAAAGCGGGGGACCGUAAGGCCUCGCGCAGCAGGAGCGGCCGAUGUCUGAUUAGCUAGUUGGUGGGGUAAAGGCCCACCAAGGCGACGAUCAGUAGCUGGUCUGAGAGGACGAUCAGCCACACUGGGACUGAGACACGGCCCAGACUCCUACGGGAGGCAGCAGUGGGGAAUUUUGGACAAUGGGGGCAACCCUGAUCCAGCAAUGCCGCGUGUGUGAAGAAGGCCUUCGGGUUGUAAAGCACUUUUGUCCGGAAAGAAAUGGCGCUGGUUAAUACCUGGCGUCGAUGACGGUACAAGGAAGAAUAAGCCCGGCUAACUACGUGCCAGCAGCCGCGGUA